GGCUGCACAUGCCGAGAGAUGAGUUUGGAUUAGUCUGCCAUAUAGCACACUUCAGUCUAUUUGAGCUGAACAGUAUGUGUAGGUAAUCCUGUCUAAUGCUGCUUUUUUAUGUAUCACGUAGUAGAACUGCAUUAGUGUUGCUCUUCACUUUCUGGAAGACCGAGUUUUGAAAUCAAUGGAAUUAGAGUAUGAUAGCUAAGGAGAUGGAGAAAACACCUGUCUCAAGGUUUACAUCUUCAAAUUAAGGGCAACCAUGGCAUCCGUGACAGGGAGAAGCAUCCAUCUAUGAUGUAAAUGGAGCCUGCAUCAUUGCUGGCCACACACUUGAAGUCCCCGCUGUGACUGGCAGAUGCAGAGCCAAUCACAAGAGAGCCAUCUUCUGCCACAGAGAACUCUGAUUGGUCAGGGAAUAUCCCAAGACCGUUCUUGAACCAGCGCACCUUUGGAAAGGAACAUAUCCAAACACCAGAGAGAGAGGAGGCUCUACUGGAAACUAAACACAUAUUUCAUCCCCCGUCCAAAAAUACUAAACUCAGGGGACAAAGAGGAACCACAGAGAGGAACCAAAGCACCUCCAGUUUGACCUCCAUGGUAUCCUGUCCAGCAGUGUUCUUGGCCACACAGCUGUAGGUGCCCUGGUCAGUGAGGCUGGCCCUGUGGAUUCUGAGGGCUGCAGUGUCCCUCGCCUCGACAGGACGUCCGUUGUGGAACCAGCUGAUCUCAGGUCUGGGCUCCCCCUGAACCACACACGGCAGAACCACCGUCUGGCCUAUCAGCGCCUUCAGCAGGGACGGAGCUGCCUGGAUCUUGGGCUUAACUGGGAAACAAGUUGAGCGACACGUUGCCGGCUGGGUUUUCUGCUGAGCAGGUGUAAAGUUUACUAUCAAUCAGUCGGACAUCGGUGAUCUUGAGAGAACCAGAAGGCAGCACGGUGAACCUGGACAUGGAGAGAGGUCAGAGGUCAGAGUAUAACACUGUUACUCACAGUGGAGUCACACUGGAAAUCCUCAACCCUGUUCAUGCUUUUGUGAAUAUGUGUGAGUGUGUGCAUGUGUGUGUGCUGUACAUGCCCGUGUAGUUCUGGCUUUUAUAAUACCAUUCACAUUGCAUAAUAGUAACUGAACUUCUCAACUGAACUGAAAUCCCCAGCAGAACUACACCCAGCUGCAGAAAUGGAUAAUAUGCACAAAUGUAAACAAUGCUCUGAGAUUUAUACGUUUCUCUGCUAAGCAACAAAAAUUAUAUCAAUAACAUGUUUGGAAAUGAUCUGGAACCACAAACAGCCCUAUAUUUCAACACUGCACAUGUGGCUAAAACACUCUGCCCCCUUACUGCUUCAAACCCAACCAGUAGCAUACAUCAUAGAAACUGAAUGACUGGCUCAGCAGCGGUCAGUCUCUACUGAGAAGUAAAACAGUUCUAAGUCACCUUAGUAGAGAGCAGGGA
rnacentral:lncRNA from 1 species